UACAGAGGGUGCGAGCGUUAAUCGGAGUUACUGGGCGUAAAGGGCGCGUAGGCGGUUUGUUAAGUCAGUUGUGAAAGCCCAGGGCUCAACCUUGGAACUGCAAUUGAUACUGGCCGACUAGAGUCGAAGAGAGGGAAGCGGAAUUUCCGGUGUAGCGGUGAAAUGCGUAGAUAUCGGAAGGAACACCUGUGGCGAAGGCGGCUUCCUGGCUUCAGACUGACGCUGAGGCGCGAAAGCGUGGGGAGCAAACAGG
rnacentral:rRNA from 1 species